rnacentral:tRNA from 5 species
GGGUGCGUAGCUCAGUGGUAGAGCGCCUGCCUUACAAGCAGGAUGUCGGCGGUUCGAAACCGUCCGCGCCCACC